rnacentral:rRNA from 1 species
ACAGCAGUCGCCACGGUAAUACGAAGGGUGCAAGCGUUACUCGGAAUUACUGGGCGUAAAGCGUGCGUAGGUGGUGGUUUAAGUCCGUUGUGAAAGCCCUGGGCUCAACCUGGGAAUUGCAGUGGAUACUGGGUCACUAGAGUGUGGUAGAGGAUAGUGGAAUUUCCGGUGUAGCAGUGAAAUGCGUAGAGAUCGGAAGGAACAUCUGUGGCGAAGGCGACUAUCUGGGCCAACACUGACACUGAGGCACGAAAGCGUGGGGAGCAAUCAGGAUUAGAUACCCCGGUAGUCCCUGUCUCUUAUAC